rnacentral:rRNA from 1 species
UGGGGAAUAUUGGACAAUGGGCGAAAGCCUGAUCCAGCCAUGCCGCGUGUGUGAAGAAGGUCUUCGGAUUGUAAAGCACUUUAAGUUGGGAGGAAGGGCAUUAACCUAAUACGUUAGUGUUUUGACGUUACCGACAGAAUAAGCAUCGGCUAACUCUGUGCCAGCAGCCGCGGUAAUACAGAGGGUGCAAGCGUUAAUCGGAAUUACUGGGCGUAAAGCGCGCGUAGGUGGUUUGUUAAGUUGGAUGUGAAAUCCCCGGGCUCAACCUGGGAACUGCAUUCAAAACUGACUGACUAGAGUAUGGUAGAGGGUGGUGGAAUUUCCUGUGUAGCGGUGAAAUGCGUAGAUAUAGGAAGGAACACCAGUGGCGAAGGCGACCACCUGGACUAAUACUGACACUGAGGUGCGAAAGCGUGGGGAGCAAACA